GCAUAUCAAUAAGCGGAGGAAAAGAAAAUAACAAUUUAUUCCCCUAGUAACGGCGAGCGAAGAGGGAAUAGCUCAAAUUUUAAAUCUGUUGGGUCUUACCUAACCGAGUUGUAAUUUGAAGAAGCGUUUUCAGCGUGUUUGAUUUAGCCCAAAUCCUUUGGGAUAAGGUAUCAUGGAGGGUGAGAAUCCCGUCCGGCAUAAUCAAAUGUGCGUUACGAUACGUUUUCUAAGAGUCGAGUUGUUUGGGAUUGCAGCUCAAAAUGGGAGGUAAAUUUCUCCUAAGGCUAAAUAUUGGCGAGAGACCGAUAGCGAACAAGUACCGUGAGGGAAAGAUGAAAAGAACUUUGAAAAGAGAGUUAAACAGUACGUGAAAUUGUUGAAAGGGAAACGAUUAAAGUCAGUCGUACUAACGGGGAAUCAACCUUUUGAGGGUGGAAUUGUGGGAUUCAAAGGGCCUUUGUUUUUCGCAACCUGCUUUUUUUGGGUGCAGUUUCUCGUAUUGUAGGUCAGCAUCGGUUUCGACCGUUAUAAAAUGACUGGAGGAAUGUAGCUUCGAUCUUGUAUUGAAGUGUUAUAGCCUUUGGUAGACGUAACGGAUGGGAUCGAGGAUUGCAAUGAAUACCCACAUGGGCUAUCCGCCUGGCCUCUGACAUGUCACUAUGGUGCUGAAAGCUUGCUUAUGGUAUUAUAGUGUACGGUCAAAAGGUUAGAACGGAUUAAAUUCGUUAAGGAUGUUGACGUAAUGGCUUUAAACGAC
rnacentral:rRNA from 1 species